rnacentral:rRNA from 1 species
GCAACCUCGCCGGCAGCUUCUAGGAUCAGGCCGUCGCACGGCGAACCGUCCCCGCCGCUGAACCAAGAGCUGAUCGUCGACGAGAUCCUCACGCGCCUGCCGGUGGCCGAAGCCAUGCGCUGCAGAUCAGUCAGCCGGGCGUGGAACGCGGCCCUCGCCUCCGGCCACUUCGUCGCCGCGCACGCCGCCAGAGCAGCCGCCGCGCGCCACCCCGAGAUCGUCUUCUUCUCGCCGACAGAGAAGGGCGUCGCCACGUCCUUCUACGCUUGCUCGCUUCCCGAGGACGGAGACGCGCCGCCCGCCGCCGCUGCCCGCAAGCUGCUCAGCGUGGGCAACCUCGCCGGCGAGCACCUCCUGCUGACCGGCAAGCCAUGCCGUGGCCUGACGCUCGUCUUCGACGUCCGGUUGUCCGAGUACCACGUCUUGAACCUCUCCACCGGCGAGCAUGUAUCCCUGCCGCCGUGCGAGACGGCGGAGGAGAUAGCACCGGUGGUUCCAAAGCUGAUGCUGCUCGAACGGCUUCCUCUGGAGCUCUCCAGCACCGGCCUCGGCUUCGACCCGGCCACCGGCCAGCACAAGGUGGUGAGGCUCUUCAGGAACAUCUUCGGGCAGCAGAAGUGCGAGGUGUGUUCGCUUACGGCGUCCGGCGAGUGGCGGUGGCGGCGCUGCGCCGGCGGUGACGCGCCGCCAAGAUUCGCGUGCUACGUCGACGGCCGGCCUCCCGUGGCCCUCGAGGGAUCCCUCUACUGGCUGCUGCACCGGCGAAGCUGCGCCUACGACGGCAGCGCCAGGGACCCGCAACAGGACGCGCCCAUCCUGUCGCUCUCCGUCGGCGCCGAGCGGUUCGGGUGGGUGCGCACGCCGCCGCGGCUGGCGUCACGCAUCCGGCACCUCACCAACCUCGACGGCGCCCUCUGCGCCGUCGUCCACGACCGCCUCGUCGACGACGUGCUCCUG